rnacentral:rRNA from 1 species
GAUGAACGCUGGCGGCGUGCCUAAUACAUGCAAGUCGAGCGAACAGACGAGGAGUUUGCUCCUUCGUCGUUAGCGGCGGACGGGUGAGUAACACGUAGGUCACCUCCCUAUAAGACUGGGAUAACUUCGGGAAACCGGAGCUAAUAGCGGAUAAUAUUUCGAACCGCAUGGUUCGUUAGUGAAUGAUGGCUUUGCUAUCACUUAUAGAUGGACAUGAGCCGUAUUAGCUAGUUGGUAAGGUAACGGCUUAUCAAGGCAACGCGUCGUAGCCGACCUGAGAGGGUGGUCGGCCACACUGGAACUUGACCACGGUCCAGAGUCCUACGGGAGGCACCAGUAGGGAAUGUGCGGCAGUAGGGGAAAGCAUUACGGAGCAACGCCGCGUGAGUGAUGAAGGUCUUCGGAGCGUAAAACUCGGCUAUUAGGGAAGAACGGACUUGGAAGUAACUGUGCACGUCUUGACGGUACCUAAUCAGAAAGCCACGGCUAACUACGUG